CAAUAGCGUAUAUUUAAGUUGUUGCAGUUAAAAAGCUCGUAGUUGGAUUUCGGAUGGGAUUUGCCGGUCCGUCGUUACGAUGUGCACUGGCCAGUCCUAUCUUGUUGUCGGGGACUAGCUCCUUGGAUUCACUUCCUGGGACUAGGAGCUGACGAGGUUACUUUGAGUAAAUUAGAGUGUUCAAAGCAAGCCUACGCUCUGAAUACAUUAGCACGGAAUAACACGAUAGGACUCUGGCUUAUCUUGUUGGUCUGUGAGACCAGAGUAAUGAUUAAGAGGGACAGUCGGGGACAUUCGUAUUUCAUUGUCAGAGGUGAAAUUCUUGGAUUUAUGAAAGACGAACUUCUGCGAAAGCAUUUGUCAAGGAUGUUUUCAUUAA
rnacentral:rRNA from 1 species